CUGCUGUGGGAUCCCCAUGGUGUUUGUUUAUCUCUGUCUCCUCUGCAACACACCCUGAUCAAUCUCCACUGAUAUUUGUAGUCAUUUUGACACUUUGAGGUCUGGGGUUUUAACUUUCUUCUUGUUUUACUAAAAAUGAAUUAAAGAAAAUCUUUUUCUUCUCCUUUAUUGCUUCUGUAUUUCCAAGAAGAAAAUGGUAGAAAUGCUGAGUUUACAUUUCAUGUGAAAACUUGAGUCCUACUCAGAAAUGUUGGAUUGUCCAACAUUUCUAACAACACUUAGAAAUCAAGUUAUUUUGUUUGAUUAUCUGAGAUUUUAAUCAGUCUUUUCUUCUUUUUCGAAGAAUGGUAUACUUCCUACUAUACUCAUUAUAACUAGAUUGGCUGGUGAAAUAAAUGGCCUUUAAGAUUGGCCUCAAUGUUUUUGAAAAUUAGGGAAUGGUUUAAUAACAAUAUUUAAACACCGUUAUCCAUUACCAUUUUGGUACUUAAUAACUGUUAGGCAUCAUGGUAUUCUCAUUGCCAACAUACUUUAUUUUUCUUUCUUAAAAGUAUAUUUUAUUGGUACAUAAUAGUUGUACAUAUUUUCAUACUUAAUAUUAAAAUGCUGACCAUACCUUUGCUUGGUGUUUCGUUGUUGAUGAAUUCUAGAUGGAUGAUGUAGUCUCUUUUAUAUCUGCAGGCAGAUGGAGUUAUUGUUAUGGUGUUUAGGACAAGCCAAUUGUGUUAAAGCAUGUGACACACCUAAUUUCAGAAACCAGAGGGGAAAUCACCACUUAUUCAAGUUCAAGAACAUGCCGGAAAAGAAGUUAGGAUGAGUGCUAGCAUGGAAAGUCAAAGGAAGAUGUCCUGUGGCUCACUUAUGAUUUGGAUUUGGUUUUGUGCCAUGUAAGGCUCUAAGCAGGACAACAAGUGGAGGAGGUGUUUUGUAACACAGGUCAGUUGCUUUAUUUCUGCUUUGGCAUCACAGAAAUGAAGUCCAAGCCCCAGUGUGCUGUCUCUUGUCAGGCAAAUCGGAUGCAUGGGUGUGCAGAGAGCAGA
rnacentral:lncRNA from 13 species